GCGUCUGACACGGCCCAUCGGUUGCAGGUCUGCACCAGUCGUCGGUAACGGCGC
rnacentral:ncRNA from 1 species